UGCCAGCAGCCGCGGUAAGACGGAGGGUGCAAGCGUUGUUCGGAAUUACUGGGCGUAAAGCGCAGGCAGGCGGUUCGUUAAGUCGUUUGUGAAAACCCGGGGCUCAACCCCGUGGAAUGCAGACGAUACUGGCGAACUGGAGACCAGUAGAGGCUAGCGGAAUUCCUGGUGUAGCGGUGGAAUGCGUAGAUAUCUGGAGGAACAUCAGUGGCGAAGGCGGCUCCCUGGCCAAAGACUGACGCUCAUGUGCGAAAGUGUGGGUAGCGAACAGGAUUAGAUA
rnacentral:rRNA from 1 species